AGGUCACCUGAAACACAGCGACACGGUGCUGAUGUUAAGACGUACUGUUAACCCCGUUAAAGUCACCUGGUAGGAGUGACACUUUCGAGAUACUCAGUGAACCCGGAUUCCUGAAAAUAUUUAACUGCGAGCCCGGGUGGGAAGCCGCUGUGGCGGAGUAGCUAAGCCCGCAUCUACCUAGCAAACCACAUUAUUUAGUUUGGUUAAUCAAGACAGCUCGGUGCACUGGGGGUUAUGCUAGUUAUACUAAUCAGUGUCAGGCCAAGGAGCUAGCUACUGCGUUAGCAUUAGUCCUGGCCACAAUGCUAUAACGUGAAAUGGCUAGCUACUUCCACCGCAGUCAUAAAUCAUAUUUUGCUGUUUUCAAUGCCUUAAUUUUGUCGAAUAAUUCUUACGGGACACGGCAUAUUCGCUAAUCCGUGAGAGAUUAUACCAAAAUCGAUAUUAAGGCAGCUAGCAGGCUAGCUAGCCUUCAUUGUGGGCACUAUCGCCAACUGCGCAUGCGGCGCCGUCUCACAAUUUUGCAGUCCUAUCUGCGUUCCCCGCUGCGCUCGGGGUUUUACAGCAUCUCACAAUUUGGCAUCCCUCACCGACGGCCGUUGUCCAUUCAGUAGCGAGAGAAAACACUCGCGCUGCUCGAAAAUCACAAAGCGGCUGCUGGUUACCAGAGCUUCGGCAGUUGGAGGAAGACGCUGAGCGUACGUACCCUCGGGGAACUCUACGUGUGUCAGGGAUAUGGACCGCCAUCGAGGUGGUGCCGAGCACUGCUCUUCCAACGCCAUCUUACCCGGACACAGCCGGGCAGUCCCAGUGAAACGCCCCAGACACGUGUCCAACCAAUGGUGAACGGAGCUCCGUGUUCAAACGGGGCCCGGCAGCGGCGCGGCCGUCCAAUCCCAGCCGCGCGCCGGAGGCUCUAUUUACAGCUGGAAGUUCUGGUUCGUGUUUGACAGCGAGGAAUAAUCUUACAAUGCAGACUCUCGGCGCAGGUAUUGCAUCAGGACACGGGAGAGCCACACAAACGUUUCCGCGCUCUGCCUUUCAGAGGCAUGUUGCAAAAAGAGCAGGAUUUGGAUUAUCAAGACCAUAGAACACACACUUAAGAGCACGUUCCCUAUGGGUUAGCCCACUGCAUUUGACCUGUACAAGCCCCAUAAAGCCCUUGGUGACCCUAGUCGUUUCAGUUGGGCCCGGAAGAGCCCCCCGUGUCUCUGGGCAGGGCGCCAUUGAGCUCCAGAAGGUUAUCAAUUCCCAGAUACCCCAGUAAAAUCUCGCUCCGGCGGUGGGAAAGGUUCACGAUGUCCUCAGCCAAGCACUGGGCAGAGGUGAAGCGGACCUUGUCGUGAUCAAACAUAUCCUUAAGGACCGACCAGCAAGCAGUUGCCAGAGCCUAAAAGAAAAACACAACUCUGUUAUCAGAAGAGCCAGCGAUUUCUCAACACAGCUACCACAGAGGAGGGAGGGCUUUCCAGGUCUUCAAAUGCGUCCAUCAGGAUGAAGUCCAACACUAUGUCGAAAAAGUUCAUACA